UCCAGUUGGGUCAUUUUUAUUCAUUUUACUUUUAUGACACAAAAUGCAACGUAGCAGGAACACAGCGUUGUGCCACGCACACACAACCAGCAACCCUGCGUUGGAAUGAAAGAGCCUUUUUAUUCACAUCUUUUGAAGGAUUCAUAUUUGGAUCGUUACUUUAAAUAAAGAAACGAUAAUCUUCACAAAAAUAUUCGAUCCAUACUUUUUCCCAAAAAUGUGUGCUACACAAAUGACACAGAUAACACCAAUAGUUCACGACGGGGCGUUGUGCAUUUCCACGAGUCACUUUCUCUGCACAUGCAAAACUAAGAAAGUGGUGCUUUGGGGAAGGUGGGCGCUGUCGUUCACUGUGUCUGUGUGCACCUGCUCACACAUUCUGCUGCUCCGGAUGCAUUUUCUGCGCGGAUGGAAUAUUUACGCUGUUCGCGUGCACUUGUUGUGCCCGUAAAUAAACGAAAAACGCGUUGAGGCUUUCCUACUAAUAUGGAAUAAGAACACAAAGAGCUUUCUCUGAGGAGAAAUGCUAUUGUGCACUUUUGUUGUAGCCCUCGUGAGAUUAAUCCUGAUAGUUCAGUAAGGCAACUUUCCUUUCAAAGGAAAUCAGGGAAUGUCUCUUUUGUUCAUAGCUGAUAGGGCGACUUCACAGUGGUGGGGAACACGAUCUGAAGGUCCAGGCUCUGUCGGAUUCCUUCGCCUCAAUCGUGUUAACUUCUAGUUAUGUGAAAUUCACACAGUGAGUUGAAGUUCACGAUGACAAAAUCCUCAUUAUGGCACAAUUGUUUGAGAGGCUUGGACCCCGACCAUGACUGCAUUGCAUUGUCAAUGAAUUACUGUUAAAACUGAUGGUUGUGACCUUCAAUAAAACCGGAUUGUGAAGUCGGUAAAAGAAAGCGAUGACGGGUUGAUGUUGGCGCCGCGAUUUUUAUGUUGCCAAUCCAACGUUGUACGCUGUAAAAUGUAAUUAUACUCGUUCUGAAAUGUGCCAGCUGUAGACGAGAAGUGUGUAUUCUUCCUCGUGGAAAGAACUACAACUUCAGAGAAUUGAAGCUCCGGUGAGAGAAUAGUGCUUUGGGAGCCUUUUGACUUCUGAUAUCACGUCUGCUGGGUGCGUAACAUUUAGAUAAAUGUUGUUCAGAAAUCAGUCGUAAUGCCCCAUGUUAAAAAAAACAAACAACCAAAUACAACGUAUGGGGGGCGAGGGGGACAGCAACACUAGAGCAUGGAACCUCCAAAACGUAUGAUCCACAAACACUCGGAGGUUUCGUUACCUCUGCAUGCUAAUUACCCGUUGGCUGCACAGCAAGAACACCAGCGGCAUCCUGAACACAACCGGAAAUGUGGCACUGAACUAAAGGACACGGUAACAUCCAGCCAGCCAUCGGCCCUGAUGGAUAUUUACACUGGCAGCUGCAGCCUCCGCGGAGCUUCCGCUUCGCUAGGCGACCACUUCCUCGCGUGGCAGGUUGAGCCUCACCUCCCCUCCUGCUCCCGCGGCGGCUGAGUAGACCGCGGUGGCGGCGGCAGAAGGAGGGCCAUUGGCCUCCAUGGUGAAGAGCUUGCAGCGCCCGGGUGGCGCCGCGUCGGGCGCCUCCUUCUCCGGGCUGGACGCCCGCGACGACCCGGCGGACGACGUGGGGCUGAGCUGCACCGCCGUGGUAUCCUGCAGCGUGUGCUCGCUGGUCUCUAUUUCGAACGCCGCCCCGCCAGCCAGCCCGCCGUGUCCCAUCAGCCCCGCGCCCCUGCCGCCCGACUUGGACCCGCGGGAGCUGCUGGGAGGGGGGAGGCGGCUGCACACGCAGCACGCCCCGAAAAAGGAGAAGGCCACCAGCAGGAGGAUCGGCCCGAUGAUGAUGGGGGGAUUGGCGGAAGGCACCAGCGUGCUGAAGGCGAACGCUCCCACCAGGGUGAUGUUGAGUCCAGCCAGCAUGAUGCACAGGCCGCAGGCGCAGCACAGCGCCGGAGAAGGAAGGCCGUGAGGGCGGGACUUCCUCCUCGUCUUCUUCUGGGGCUCCUUUUUAGGUACAGGGGUGCCAGCGUUUCUAUCAGUGAUGACCAUGUUUUCUCCUCUCUCUUCCGCGGCGUUAUCGAAUCUCCCCGUGUUUCAGUCCAGACUCUUCCCCAUGGCGCCGUUUAAAUGCAUUCACAGCCCGCCAACAUCUGCAAAUGUGACAACGUGACAGAUGUUAGAGGAUCUUUUUGUUGUUACACACAGUGGAAGACACUCUGCG
ensembl:lncRNA